GAUGAACGCUAGCUACAGGCUUAACACAUGCAAGUCGGAGGGGCAGCAUGGUCUUAGCUUGCUAAGACUGAUGGCGACCGGCGCACGGGUGAGUAACACGUAUCCAACCUGCCGUCUACUCUUGGACAGCCUUCUGAAAGGAAGAUUAAUACAAGAUGGCAUCAUGAGUCCGCAUGUUCACAUGGAUUAAAGGUAUUCCGGUAGACGGAUGGGGGAUGCGUUCCAUUAGAUAGGUAGG
rnacentral:rRNA from 1 species